rnacentral:rRNA from 1 species
AAAUGAAUAGACGGGCACCCGCACAAGCGGUGGAGCAUGCUGUUUAAUUCGAAGAUACGCGAAGAACCUUACCUGGGCUUGACAUCCCGGUGAAAGCUUUUGGAAACAAGAGCCCUCCUUUCGGGGACACCGGUGACAGGUGGUGCAUGGUUGUCGUCAGCUCGUGUCGUGAGAUGUUGGGUUAAGUCCCACAACGAGCGCAACCCUUAUCCUUAAUUGCUAACAUUUAGUUGAGAACCUUAAGGAGACUGCCGAUGAUAAAUCGGAGGAAGGUGGGGAUGACGUCAAAUCAUCAUGCCCCUUACGUCCAGGGCUACAGGCGUGCUAUAAUGGCCAAUAUAAAAAGAUGCAAACUCGUGAGAGCAAGCAAAUCUCAAAAGUUGGUCUCAGUCCGGAUUGAAGUCUGCAACUCGACUUCAUGAAGUUAGAAUCGCUAGUAAUCGUGAAUCAGAAUGUCACGGUGAAUACGUUCCCGGGUGUUGUACACACCGCCCGU